rnacentral:rRNA from 1 species
UACGAGGGGUCCUAGCGUUGUUCGGAAUCAUUGGGCGUAAAGCGGGUGUAGGCGGCCUUAUAAGUCAGAAGUGAAAGCCCCGGGCUCAACCUGGGAAGUGCUUUUGAUACUGUAAGGCUUGAGUGUGGGAGAGGAUAGUGGAAUUCCUGGUGUAGUGGUGAAAUACGUAGAUAUCAGGAGGAACUCCAGUGAGGAAGCUGGCUAUCUGGCCCAACACUGACGCUCAGACCCGAAAGCGUGGGGAGCAAACAGG